rnacentral:rRNA from 1 species
GACAGAGGAUGCAAGCGUUAUCCGGAAUGAUUGGGCGUAAAGCGUCUGUAGGUGGCUUUUUAAGUCCGCCGUCAAAUCCCAGGGCUCAACCCUGGACAGGCGGUGGAAACUACCAAGCUGGAGUACGGUAGGGGCAGAGGGAAUUUCCGGUGGAGCGGUGAAAUGCGUAGAGAUGUGGAGGAACACCUGUGGCGAAGGCGCCUUGCUGGCCGAUUUCUGACGCUGAGGCGCGAAAGCGUGGGGAGCAAACAGG